AGUUCCCGUACGAUCACGGGACUUAAGCAACGUCGAGCUUGGUCAGUACUUAGAUGGGUGACCGCUUGGGAAUACCCAGUGCUGUAAG